rnacentral:rRNA from 1 species
GACGAACGCUGGCGGCGUGCUUAACACAUGCAAGUCGAGCGGUAAGGCCCUUUCGGGGGUACGACGAGCGGCGAACGGGUGAGUAACACGUGGGUGACCUGCCCUCAGCUCUGGGAUAAGCCUGGGAAACUGGGUCUAAUACUGGAUAUGACUCCACGGUGCAUGUCGUGGGGUGGAAAGCCUUGUGCGGCUGAGGAUGGGCCCGCGGCCUAUCAGCUUGUUGGUGGGGUGAGGCCUACCAAGGCGACGACGGGUAGCCGGCCUGAGAGGGCGACCGGCCACACUGGGACUGAGACACGGCCCAGACUCCUACGGGA